CAGAAAGCCAUAAAGAUUCCUUCUCUGUACCAGAAGGAGAACACAGCCCUUAUCACCAGAGACAGGGAAUUGAGCAUUGCAAUGGACCUGAAUAAAUAAACUUACCAAAGUAACCCUUACCUUCCACUAGUUUUGUAUGCUUCCAUGUAUCUCCUAGUGACUCCUAGACAUUUACUGUCCCUGGCCUGAUCUCCUUUGUCCUGUCAUUUCUUCUCUACUUUAUCCUUCUUUGUCUAAAAAGUAUAAAAGCACCUUGCUUUGGCCACUUCUUCAGACUUCAUUCCCUUGUGAAGAUCCCAUGUAUAUGUAAAACUAAUAAAACCUGUACAUUUUUCUCUUGUUAAUAUGCCUAGUGUCAAUUUGGUUUCUAGAUCCAGCCAAAGAGCUUAGUAAAAGCUAAAGGAAGGUUGAACGUGGUCUCUGGCUCCAAGCUUUCCUUUUUUUUUUUUUUUUUUUGAGACAGUCUCACUCUGUCACCCAGGCUGGAGUCCAGUGGCACCAUCUCGGCUGAAUGCAACCUCCGACCCCCCAGGUUCAAGCGAUUCUCCUGCCUCAGCCUCCCAAGUAGCUGGGAUUACAGGCGUGUGCCACCAUGCCCAGCUAAUUUUUGUGUUUUUUAGUAGAGACGGGGUUUCACCAUGUUGGCCAGGCUGGUCUCAAACUCCUGGUCUCAAGUGAUCCUCCCACCUCAGCCUCCAGAGCAGGUGGGAUUACAAGCACAAGUCCCUAUACCCAGUCUGUAUUUUUAAGAUACGUAUCAAAAACCCACUUAAUGGGCUGGGUGCGGUGGCUGACGCCUGUAAUCCCAGCACUUUGGGAGGCCGAGGUGGGCAGAUAACCUGAGGUCAGGAGUUCGAGACCAACCUGAGCAACAUGGUGAAACCCUGUCUCUACUAAAAGUUAAAAAAAAUUAGCUGGGCGUGGUGGUGGGCACCUCUAAUACCAGAUUCUCAGGAGGCUGAGGCAGGACAAUCGCCUGAACCCAGGAGGGGGAGGUUGCAGUGAGCUGAGAUCAUGCCACAGCACAUCAGCCUGGGCAACAAGAGUGAAACUCUGUCUCAAAAUAAAUAAAUAAAUUAAUUAAUUAAAUUAAAUAAAAAUAAAGAGAAACUUAAUGUCAUUUUACUUCUUCGUAGAGAGAAACAUUCACCAAAUCAAAUGACAGAGUAUUGCAAUUCCCAAACAGGCGGAAUGGUUAUUCCUCUAACACAUGGUU
rnacentral:lncRNA from 1 species